GAUGAAGAACGUAGCGAAAUGCGAUAAGUAAUGUGAAUUGCAGAAUUCAGUGAAUCAUCGAAUCUUUGAACGCACCUUGCACCCUUUGGCAUUCCGAAGGGUAUGCUCGUUUGAGUGUCAUUGUACUCUCACACUCUCCGAUCCUAUUGAUUCGGGGAGCGGUGGACUUGGGUGUUGCUGCCUUUCCUUGUGGCUCACCUCAAAUGUGUCAGUGCACCUCUUGGUUGGACAUAGUACGGCGUGAUAAGUGUCUUCGCCGGCACCUCACUAGAGGGUGGCUGACCGGGAGCUCUGUGCUUCAAACCGUCUUCGGACAACAACUGACAACUUGACCUCAAAUCGAGUAGGACCACCCGCUGAACUUAAGCAUAUCAAUAAGCGGAGGA
rnacentral:misc_RNA from 1 species